rnacentral:rRNA from 1 species
UACGUAGGGUGCGAGCGUUAAUCGGAAUUACUGGGCGUAAAGCGUGCGCAGGCGGUUGUGUAAGACAGAUGUGAAAUGCCCGGGCUUAACCUGGGAACUGCAUUUGUGACUGCACGGCUAGAAUCUGGCAGAGGGGGGUAGAAUUCCACGUGUAGCAGUGAAAUGCGUAGAGAUGUGGAGGAAUACCGAUGGCGAAGGCAGCCCCCUGGGCCAAGAUUGACGCUCAUGCACGAAAGCGUGGGGAGCAAACAGG